rnacentral:rRNA from 1 species
GUGGAUUAGAUACCCUGGUAGUCCAUGCCGUAAACGUUGGGCGCUAGGUGUGGGGCUCAUUCCACGAGCUCUGUGCCGCAGCAAACGCAUUAAGCGCCCCGCCUGGGGAGUACGGCCGCAAGGCUAAAACUCAAAGGAAUUGACGGGGGCCCGCACAAGCGGCGGAGCAUGCGGAUUAAUUCGAUGCAACGCGAAGAACCUUACCAAGGCUUGACAUACAGGGUAAUCCGGCAGAGACGUCGGGUCCGCAAGGGAUCCUGUACAGGUGGUGCAUGGCCGUCGUCAACU